ensembl:misc_RNA Metazoa_SRP Metazoan signal recognition particle RNA
GCAAGGCGAGGUGGUGCGUGCCUAUAGUCCAGCUACUCAGGAGGCUGAGGUGGGAGGAUUGCCUGAGCCCAGGAGUUCUGGGCUGUACUGCACUAUGCCGAUUGGGUGUCUGCACUAAGUUCGGCAUCAAUAUGGUGACCUCCGGGAGCAGGGGACCACCAGGUUGCCUAAGGUGGGUUGAUCCGGCCCAGUUCAGAAAUGGAGCAGGUCAAACCAGUGCUGAUUGGUAGUCGGAAUGCGCCUGUGAAUAGCCACCGCACUCCAGCCUGGGCAACACAGCGAGAUCCCUCUCUU